ACGAACGCUGGCGGCGUGCCUAAUACAUGCAAGUCGAACGAAGCUUUCUUUCACCGAAUGCUUGCAUUCACCGAAAGAAGCUUAGUGGCGAACGGGUGAGUAACACGUAGGCAACCUGCCCAAAAGAGGGGGAUAACACUUGGAAACAGGUGCUAAUACCGCAUAACCAUGAACACCGCAUGAUGUUCAUGUAAAAGACGGCUUUUGCUGUCACUUUUGGAUGGGCCUGCGGCGUAUUAACUUGUUGGUGGGGUAACGGCCUACCAAGGUGAUGAUACGUAGCCGAACUGAGAGGUUGAUCGGCCACAUUGGGACUGAGACACGGCCCAAACUCCUACGGGAGGCAGCAGUAGGGAAUCUUCCACAAUGGACGAAAGUCUGAUGGAGCAACGCCGCGUGAAUGAAGAAGGCCUUCGGGUCGUAAAAUUCUGUUGUCAGAGAAGAACGUGCGUGAGAGUAACUGUUCACGUAUUGACGGUAUCUGACCAGAAAGCCACGGCUAACUACGUGCCAGCAGCCGCGGUAAUACGUAGGUGGCGAGCGUUGUCCGGAUUUAUUGGGCGUAAAGGGAACGCAGGCGGUCUUUUAAGUCUGAUGUGAAAGCCUUCGGCUUAACCGAAGUAGUGCAUUGGAAACUGGAAGACUUGAGUGCAGAAGAGGAGAGUGGAACUCCAUGUGUAGCGGUGAAAUGCGUAGAUAUAUGGAAGAACACCAGUGGCGAAAGCGGCUCUCUGGUCUGUAACUGACGCUGAGGUUCGAAAGCGUGGGUAGCAAACAGGAUUAGAUACCCUGGUAGUCCACGCCGUAAACGAUGAGUGCUAAGUGUUGGAGGGUUUCCGCCCUUCAGUGCUGCAGCUAACGCAUUAAGCACUCCGCCUGGGGAGUACGGUCGCAAGACUGAAACUCAAAGGAAUUGACGGGGGCCCGCACAAGCGGUGGAGCAUGUGGUUUAAUUCGAAGCAACGCGAAGAACCUUACCAGGGUUUGACAUCCUGCUAACGAAGUAGGGAUACAUUAGGUGCCCUUCGGGGAAAGCAGAGACAGGUGGUGCAUGGUUGUCGUCAGCUCGUGUCGUGAGAUGUUGGGUUAAGUCCCGCAACGAGCGCAACCCUUAUUGUCAGUUGCCAUCAUUAAGUUGGGCACUCUGGCGAGACUGCCGGUGACAAACCGGAGGAAGGUGGGGAUGACGUCAAAUCAUCAUGCCCCUUAUGACCUGGGCUACACACGUGCUACAAUGGACGGUACAACGAGUCGCUAACUCGCGAGGGCAAGCUAAUCUCUUAAAGCCGUUCUCAGUUCGGAUUGCAGGCUGCAACUCGCCUGCAUGAAGUCGGAAUCGCUAGUAAUCGCGAAUCAGCAUGUCGCGGUGAAUACGUUCCCGGGCCUUGUACACACCGCCCGUCACACCAUGAGAGUUUGUAACACCCAAAGUCGGUGGGGUAACCUUUUGGAGCCAGCCGCCUAAGGUGGGACAGAUGAUUGGGGUG
rnacentral:rRNA from 1 species